AGAGCGAACGCUGGCGGCAGGCCUAACACAUGCAAGUCGAGCGCCCGUAGCAAUACGGGAGCGGCAGACGGGAUAGUAACACGUGGGAACGCGCCCUUCGGUUCGGAAUAACUCAGGGAAACUUGAGCUAAUACCGAAUACGCCCUUACGGGGAAAGAUUUAUUGCCGAAGGAACGGCCCGCGUCCGAUUAGCUAGUUGGUGAGGUAAUGGCUCACCAAGGCUACGAUCGGUAGCUGGUCUGAGAGGAUGACCAGCAUCACUGGGACUGAGACACGGCCCAGACUCCUACGGGAGGCAGCAGUGGGGAAUAUUGGACAAUGGGCGAAAGCCUGAUCCAGCCAUGCCGCGUGGAUGAUGAAGGCCUUAGGGUUGUAAAGUCCUUUUAACGGGAAGAUAAUGACGGUACCCGUAGAAUAAGCCCGGCUAACUUCGUGCCAGCAGCCGC
rnacentral:rRNA from 1 species